rnacentral:lncRNA from 1 species
UCAGCACAAAAUAUUUCUUUCAAUGUAUUCAGUUCCUAGCAUAGUUUCUAUUUCAACCAUAUGUAAGGAGACUGUAGUUUACUACAACUCAGUCGUAGCAGUUUAGUUUUAAAUAUUUAUUGUACAAAGUAAGUUGUAUUUUAUUUUCAGUCUUUAAUACAAAGAACUUUAUACAACUGUUACUAUAUAAGCCCGUGUUGACGGCAACUAUUUCUCUCUCUCUUCGUUCUUCACUCUGAGUUAACUCUGGGACUCCAGGUUAACAGUGCAGGAACC